rnacentral:lncRNA from 1 species
CUGUCUUGUUAGAUUAACCCAAUAAAUUUCAUUCACUCCGCAUACUCAAUCCUAUAGACACCCUUUUAAUUCUUCAUCACAGACAUAACUCGAUUUCACAAAACAGUCAAGAGUAAUCAAACCCACUUGAUUAAAAAUCCCGAUUCACCAUUACAACACUGACUUCAGCAACGAUUGCCUCAGUCUUCCCAAAACCCUAUGAAGAAAAAAAUCCCAAU